GUAGAGAGGCAUUAAGAACGCAGGUGGCAGGGCCAGCCACCAGGAGGGCUGCGUGCCACCCGGGCAGCUCUGCUGCUCACUGGCAGUGUCACCUGCGGAAACUCUCCAUCAUCUAUC
rnacentral:precursor_RNA from 1 species